UGAAACGGUGGAAGAUUGAGAAUGGGUUUAGUUGUGGCGCUACCGCGGCUCAGGUCACACGUGUGUUAAUUUCGCGUCAUUCUCGGGUUAAAGUAUUUCCUGAGGUAAAAAAAAUACUAAAUUCAAAGAUCUAGGCGUGUUCAUUUGUCAGUGAUCAUACACAAGACGCUCCUACUUGUUCGUCGACGUUUAUGCAGAAAAAAAAUUGUUCGUUUUAGGAAAAUUGAGUCUCUUUCGAAAAGAGGGCUCGUUUCGUGGAUUGAAUUGCAUGAAAUGAUGUUUCCAUUGUCGACGAUGACAUGUUGACGCCGCACUUUGAUUAGCGAAUGCUAAAAGGAGGGAAAAACAAUAUUACGGAUUGUCAGUGUUGUGUACCUAAAGAUAAUAUAGACUGUCAACCGAUCAAUGGAUUUGAUCAUAAGAAAUAUAUUUCUCGUGGGGAAAAAUUUCGAGGAAAUGUUCACAUGAUGUGCAUGUAUGCACGCUUUAUUAUCUUCUUCGACGAUGCGACUCUUUUUCGAUGGGGAAAGUUGGUAACAUCCCCGUCGUAGUGAGAAACCCUACGGAUAUUGUCGAGUACAUUCACCUUGAAAACUAUUGAGAACGAAGGAAUCUUCUAAUCAAGUGUUUUAUGAAAUUCGAAUAUCGUGAGUGGCUCGCGUUCGUUUCUGCAAAGGUGAGCGGGAGAUGAGAAAAGAUGAUCUAGGAAAAACAUUUGAGAUUUUUACGGGAGCGCAAUUAAAAAACUUUGGCUCCGUGUCAACGCUCAGCCAUGUCGUGAACUUCUUACACAUCAUCGUCUAGUGAGAGCAACCAUAGCCACUUUAGAUUAACAGAUAAUUUCUGCGCACAACUCAGCGACAAUGGACCAUGGGAACAAUUUAAAGCAGAAGGUUAAAUACGAAUAUCGUGGAAAACGGAAGUGGUUUCUUGAAAACACAGUGUCCGGUGAAUGGUGCGCUAGAUCACCGUGGAAAUCUAAAGAUAGUCUCAUGGAACAAGUCGUCAUCGAUAAACGUGAGCGUGAGAAUAAAUAGAGGAGAGGGAGCAAGAGAGAAAGAGAGAGCUACAUGUAAUAAAAGAUCGAAUGGAGGAAGGGCAAAAAACAAAAAAAUGAGCGGUGAAAUAGCCAGGUGAAAAUGUCUAGACAAAAUAAAGAUCCGAUUCACAAGUGCCACUCGGAUCCAGGAGCUGGUGAUAGGAACAUCACCCCAAUUUCGUCUCAUACAUCCUAUAAGAGGAUUUCACGCAGGCACGUGCUUCCAAGCCUCAUCGGCUCAUCGGCUACUCGAAAAUGCGUACUCACUCUCGACGGAUACAAUUACGUUAUAGUUGCUUCACCACCCGACAGAAGGUCAAGGGACGAAAUCGAUACUUCGACCUCUUCGCCUGCUACUGCUUCAGGAAUCGUAAAUGAGAAUGUGAACAUGAGCGGCACAAGUGGUAACAUCAGUACUACACAUUCGCACAACCCUCCUUCGCCAGGAAGAAAUGGUCAGCUCUCGAAGCAAGGAACAUUGACGAUAGUACGCCGUAGUUCAGCCAAAGGUAAAAGUAGCGCGGAAGCAAGCAUCGAAAGUUCAAUCCUAACCAAUGAUCCUGAAACCCACUUGAGAGGUCGCUCGGUGGAUUCUGGCGAGGAUUUCGAUAAUGUUGAUUUUGAUACAGAAUCUCUGCCAGCUGUUGAUACGCCUGAUGCCUGUGACAAAGCUGCUCUCAGACUACGAUGUCUAUUGCGGCAGCUUGAGCAUGGUGAAAUCUCUGCCGAUCUACUGCAACGGAAUCUGCAUUAUGCAGCCCGCGUUCUCGAAGCUGUUUUUAUCGAUGAGACCAAGGUGAGUUCAAGUGAGAGUACUCAGUCGUCACGCAGGGGGGCGGGACACUCAUCACCGGCCCCCGGUGCUGGCUUGGACACCGACGGACUCCUGAGCCACGCCGUGGCAACUCAGAAACGGAAACUUCGCACCCCCGUUUGGGCAAGAAAAGCCGACCACUUGAAGAAAGCAGCCACCUGUCAGCCGAGCGUACGUCGUAGACGUUUGGCUGAUGAAGAUGACGAACUUUCGGAAGUACAACCUGACGCUGUACCACCGGAAGUUCGGGAAUGGCUUGCUUCAACGUUUACGAGACAACUGGCAACUACGAAACGCAAAGCUGAUGAAAAACCCAAAUUUCGUUCGGUGGCACAUGCGAUUAGAGCUGGAAUAUUUGUGGAAAGAAUAUCCAGAAGAGUUACCAACACUGCGUUAAUGCAAUUUCCACCGGAUGUCGUCAAAGUUCUCAAGACACUUGACGACUGGUCCUUUGAUGCAUUUUCUCUGAACGACGCCGCGAUGGGUGCUCCGGUCAAGUAUCUGGGCUACGACCUUCUCAAUCGCUACGGUAUGAUCCACAAGUUCAAGGUUCCACCGAUCGUCCUCGAAAAUUUUCUCUCAAGAGUCGAGGAGGGCUACUGUAGGCACAGAAAUCCCUACCACAAUAAUCUUCACGCUGCUGACGUGGCGCAAACGAUGCAUUGGGUUUUAUGUCAAACAGGCUUGAUGAACUGGCUGUCAGAUCUCGAGAUUUUCGCAACUCUCGUUGCUGCUAUCAUUCAUGAUUACGAGCACACAGGAACGACGAAUAAUUUCCACGUCAUGUCUGGAAGCGAUACUGCGUUACUGUACAACGAUCGUGCUGUCUUGGAAAAUCACCACAUCUCUGCAAGCUUUCGGAUCCUGCGAGAGGAUGAAUGCAAUAUUCUACAAAAUCUUGCCAAGGAAGAAUUCCGUGAAUUUAGGUCAUUGGUCAUCGACAUGGUUCUUGCAACAGAUAUGAGUUUCCAUUUUCAACAACUGAAGAAUAUGAAAAAUCUGUUGAGUCUGGCCGAGUCGAGUGUUGACAAAAAUGGACGAUGCAGCUGCUCGAAGAGUUCUUCAGACAAGGUGACAAAGAACAAGCUCUUGGGCUGCCAUUUUCACCACUUUGCGAUCGAAACAACACUCUCGUUGCAGAGUCACAAAUUGGGUUCAUCGAAUUUAUCGUAGAACCAAGCAUGCAAGUGUGCAGUGAUAUGCUGGAAACGGUUUUAGGACCUUUGAACAAUUCAAAAGAACGAGAUUCUGAGGAUCCCAAGAAUGGAUCACUGGAUGAGCGAAGGUGCAAAAUUCAAAAACCCUGGGUUCAGUGCCUUGCCGAGAACAAAAAGUUCUGGAAAGAACAAGCUAUCAGAG
rnacentral:misc_RNA from 1 species